GAUGAACGCUAGCGAAAUGCCUAACACAUGCAAGUCGAACGGACCUUGCGUCGUAGCAAUACGUAGUAAGGUUAGUGGCAAACGAGCGAGUAACGCGUGCUUAACCUGCCCCGAAGUUGGGUAUAACUACAGAGAUGUAGCUAAUUCCCAAUAUGCUCACGAUGGUGAAAUCCCAAUGGGAGGAAAGAUUUAUCGCGUUCGGAGGGGGGUGCGUCCUAUCAGAUAGUUGGUGAGGUAACGGCUUACCAAGUCUAUGACGGGUAACCGGUCUGAGAUGAUGAACGGCCACAUUGGAACUGAGACACGGUCCAGACUCC
rnacentral:rRNA from 1 species